GUGGGGGGGUGGGGUGGGGGCGUGGGAGGAGCUCCAGAGCUGCGCCCGUCCCCGCCGCCCUGCCCUCGCCUCACCUGUCUUGCCGCUCCUCCAGCUGCGCCUGCAGGGUGCCCAGGGCUGCGCUCUUCUCCACCACCUGACUCCAACCAGCCCAGCUGCCAGCCACUCAAGGGAUUCAGCUUCAGUGCGUCCCAACCUGUGCUGAGGGGCCUGGUGAGAUGAGGAGCAAGCUGGGGCUGCUCCCAUAUGAAGGGCCUGGGAAGGGACCCCACCCAGGCAGAGUGACGCACCUACUUCAUGGCUGAUCCACUUUAUAACAUUCUUUAGACCACCGAGUAAUGCCGUCAACUUCUCUACUUCCUCCUGUUCCUUUUAUUCAUGUUAUGCCAUUCAAUACGUUACACUACACUAAUAUCAAUAUUCUUUGACAUUUCUCAAAGUUAAAAUGGUAGGUAGAGAUGGAAAACAAAUUAGUGGUCGCUAAGGAUUAGGGAUGUUGGGGAGCAAGAAGGAGAUCUUGGGCCUUUCAUCCCAGCACUUGGGAGGCAGAGAUAGGAGGACUGCUGUGAGUUCAAGACCAUCCUGAGACUACAGAGUGAAUUCCAGGUCAGCCUGGGCGAGUGCAAGACCUUAC